UGGCUCAGGAUGAACGCUGGCGGCGUGCUUAACACAUGCAAGUCGGACGGACCCGAAAGGGUGAGUGGCGCACGGGUGAGUAACACGUAGCUUACCUGCCCCAAAGUCUGGGAUAACUCCUCGAAAGAGGAGCUAAAACCGGAUAAGCUCACGGUGAAUAGUAAGCGGUGAGAAAAGUUUACGCUUUGGGAGGGGGCUGCGGCCCAUCAGAUAGUAGGUGAGGUAACGGCUCACCUAGUCAACGACGGGUAGGGGGCCUGAGAGGGUGACCCCCCACACUGGGACUGAGACACGGCCCAGACUCCUACGGGAGGCAGCAGUGAGGAAUAUUGCACAAUGGGCGAAAGCCUGAUGCAGCGACGCCGCGUGGGUGAAGAAGGUUUUCGGAUCGUAAAACCCUUUUCUGUGUGACGAGGAAGGACGGUAGCACAGGAAUAAGUGUCGGCUAACUACGUGCCAGCAGCCGCGGUAAUACGUAGGACGCAAGCGUUAUCCGGAAUUACUGGGCGUAAAGAGCGUGUAGGCGGUUGUCCAAGUCACCCGUGAAAGCUCCCGGCUAAACUGGGAGGGGUCGGGUGAGACUGGACGGCUAGAGGGUUGUAGAGGGGUGUGGAAUUCCGGGUGUAGUGGUGAAAUGCGUAGAGAUCCGGAGGAACACCAGAGGCGAAGGCGGCACCCUGGACAACACCUGACGCUGAGACGCGAAAGCGCGGGGAGCAAACGGGAUUAGAGACCCCGGUAGUCCGCGCCGUAAACGAUGUGCGCUAGAUGUUCGUGUUCCUACGGGGAGAUGAGCGUCGAAGCCAACGCGAUAAGCGCACCGCCUGAGGAGUACGGUCGCAAGGCUAAAACUCAAAGGAAUUGACGGGGCCCCGCACAAGCAGCGGGGGCGUGUGGUUUAAUUCGAGGCUACACGAAGAACCUUACCUAGGCUUGACAUCCCGGGAACCCAUGUGAAAGCAUGGUACCGCAAGGUCGAGGAGACAGGUGCUGCAUGGCUGUCGUCAGCUCGUGUCGUGAGA
rnacentral:rRNA from 1 species